ensembl:snRNA U6 U6 spliceosomal RNA
AUGUUAACUUCAACAACACAUAUGCUAAAAUUAGAAUAAUACAGAGAAAAAUACCAUGGCACCUGCAUAAGGAUAAAAUGUAAAUUUGUGAAUCAUCCCAUAUUUUG